GGAGCGAAAUUAAGUAGCGAAGUAGCUGAUUUCACACUGUCGAGAAAAGUCUCUAUCGAGGUUAAAGGUGCCUGUACCGCAAACCGACACAGGUGGGUGAGGAGAGUAUCCUAAGGCCAGCGAGAGAACUGUUGUUAAGGAACUCGGCAAAAUGACCCCGUAACUUCGGGAGAAGGGGUGCCUUCGAAAGAAGGCCGCAGAGAAUAGGCCCAAGCGACUGUUUACCAAAAACAUAGGUUUCUGCUAAGUCGCAAGACGAUGUAUAGGAGCUGACGCCUGCCCGGUGCUGGAAGGUUAAGGGGAUCUGUUAGAGCAAUCGAAGCAGUGAACUUAAGCCCCAGUAAACGGCGGCCGUAACUAUAACGGUCCUAAGGUAGCGAAAUUCCUUGUCGGGUAAGUUCCGACCCGCAUGAAAGGCGUAACGAUUUGGGCACUGUCUCAACAACAGACUCGGUGAAAUUGUAAUACCGGUGAAGAUGCCGGUUACCUGCGACAGGACGGAAAGACCCCAUGGAGCUUUACUGUAGCUUGACAUUGAGUCUCGGUGCUACAUGUACAGGAUAGGUGGGAGACUAUGAAGCAUGGACGUCAGUCUGUGUGGAGUCAUCCUUGGGAUACCACCCUUGUAGUACUGGGAUUCUAACCAGAGGCCAUGAAUCUGGUCUUGGGACACUGUCAGGUGGACAGUUUGACUGGGGCGGUCGCCUCCCAAAAAGUAACGGAGGCGCUCAAAGGUUCUCUCAGUACGGUCGGAAAUCGUACGAAGAGUGUAAAGGCAAAAGAGAGCUUGAUUGCAAGACAUACAGGUCGAGCAAGGACGAAAGUCGGACUUAGUGAUCCGGUGGUUCCGCAUGGAAGGGCCAUCGCUCAACGGAUAAAAGCUACCCUGGGGAUAACAGGCUGAUCUCCCCCAAGAGUCCACAUCGACGGGGAGGUUUGGCACCUCGAUGUCGGCUCAUCACAUCCUGGGGCUGUAGUAGGUCCCAAGGGUUGGGCUGUUCGCCCAUUAAAGUGGUACGCGAGCUGGGUUCAGAACGUCGUGAGACAGUUCGGUCCCUAUCCGUCGCAGGCGUAGGAAAUUUGAGGAGACCUGUCCUUAGUACGAGAGGACCGGGAUGGACGUACCGCUGGUGUACCAGUUGUUCUGCCAAGGGCAUGGCUGGGUAGCUAAGUACGGAAAGGAUAAGCGCUGAAAGCAUCUAAGCGCGAAGCCCACUUCAAGAUAAGAUUUCCCACCGCAAGGUUAAGAUCCCAGGAAGACUACCUGGUUGAUAGGUCAGAGGUGUAAGUGCAGUAAUGUAUUUAGCUUACUGAUACUAAUAGAUCGAGGACUUGACU
rnacentral:rRNA from 1 species